GAUGAACGCUGGCGGCGUGCCUAGUACAUGCAAGUCGAGCGAACGGACGAGAAGCUUGCUUCUCUGAUGUUAGCGGCGGACGGGUGAGUAACACGUGGAUAACCUACCUAUAAGACUGGGAUAACUUCGGGAAACCGGAGCUAAUACCGGAUAAUAUUUUGAACCGCAUGGUUCAAAAGUGAAAGACGGUCUUGCUGUCACUUAUAGAUGGAUCCGCGCUGCAUUAGCUAGUUGGUAAGGUAACGGCUUACCAAGGCAACGAUGCAUAGCCGACCUGAGAGGGUGAUCGGCCACACUGGAACUGAGACACGGUCCAGACUCCUACGGGAGGCAGCGGUAGGGAAUCUUCCGCAAUGGGCGAAAGCCUGACGGAGCAACGCCGCGCGAGUGAUGAAGGUCUUCGGAUCGUAAAACUCUGUUAUUAGGGAAGAACAUAUGUGUAAGUAACUGUGCACAUCUUGACGGUACCUAAUCAGAAAGCCACGGCUAACUACGUG
rnacentral:rRNA from 1 species